AUUGAGGUGACAGAAAAAUGUGUUAGAUUUAAGCUCUAAUUAUAAAGGUCAUUCCUUUUCUUAAUA
rnacentral:tRNA from 1 species